UCCCUGGUAGUAUAUCGGUUAGUACACGCGCCUGUCAUCUAGUACGGUGCGCGCGAAAGCGGGGUUCGACUCCCCGCCAGGGAG